CUGAGUGAGGAUGCUCGUCAUCCAACCUCCCAUCCUUUGUCAAUUGACCUGGUUGCUUCGGCGUGGAGUCCAUCCCGUCGGAAGCCAAUUCUUCAAAUUCUGAAUUAACUUGUUUGUCUAAAUCAUUUAAUAUUUUAAAUAAGCAAAACUUUCAACAACGGAUCUCUUGGUUCUGGCAUCGAUGAAGAACGCAGCGAAAUGCGAUAAGUAAUGCGAAUUGCAGAAUUUCCGUGAGUCAUCGAAUCUUUGAACGCACAUUGCGCCCUUUGGUAUUCCGAAGGGCAUGCCUGUUCGAGCGUCAUUAUCAACCUUCAAACCCCGUGUUUGUAGUUGGGUCAAGUCUCGUCCGCGAGACCGACCUCAAAGAUAAUGAUGGAGUCUGGGAAGGACCCUCGAUGCGAUGAGCUUUUUUUCAAAGCAUGCAUCGAUCCCGUCGUCUCGGCCUGUCGUCUCUCCUUUUUUUUCUAAGGUUGACCUCGGAUCAGGUAGGAAUACCCGCUGAACUUAAGCAUAUCAAUAAGCGGAGGAAAAGAAACCAACAGGGAUUGCCUCAGUAACGGCGAGUGAAGCGGCAACAGCUCAAAUUUGAAAUCUGACUUCGGUCCGAGUUGUAAUUUGUAGAGGAUGUUUCGGGUACCGCCUUGGUUUAAAUUUCUUGGAACAGAAUGUCAAAGAGGGUGAGAAUCCCGUCUUGAACCGUGGUAGGGCCUAUGUGAAACUCCUUCGACGAGUCGAGUUGUUUGGGAAUGCAGCUCAAAAUGGGUGGUAAAUUUCAUCUAAAGCUAAAUAUUGGCCAGAGACCGAUAGCGCACAAGUAGAGUGAUCGAAAGAUGAAAAGCACUUUGAAAAGAGAGUUAAAAAGUAUGUGAAAUUGUUGAAAGGGAAGCGCUUAUCACCAGACUUGAGCGAGACGGUUCCCCCUUCCUUUUGGUUGGGUUACUCCGUCUCGUCCAGGCCAACAUCAGUUUUGGGGGUCGGUCAAAGGCUAGGGGAAUGUAUCUUCCUCGGAAGACUUAUAGCCCCUGGUGUCAUGCGACCCUCCCGAG
rnacentral:rRNA from 1 species